CCUACGGGUGGCAGCAGUGAGGAAUAUUGGUCAAUGGGCGUAAGCCUGAACCAGCCAAGUCGCGUGAGGGAUGAAGGUUCCAUGGAUCGUAAACCUCUUUUAUCAGGGGAUAAAAUGCGGGACGUGUCCCUGUUUGUAUGUACCUUAUGAAUAAGCAUCGGCUAACUCCGUGCCAGCAGCCGCGGUAAUACGGAGGAUCCGAGCGUUAUCCGGAUUUAUUGGGUUUAAAGGGUGCGUAGGCGGCCCUUUAAGUCAGCGGUGAAAGUCUGUGGCUCAACCAUAGGAUUGCCGUUGAAACUGGGUGGCUUGAGAAUGUUUGAGGCAGGCGGAAUGCGCGGUGUAGCGGUGAAAUGCUUAGAUAUCACGCAGAACCCCGAUUGCGAAGGCAGCAUACCA
rnacentral:rRNA from 1 species